rnacentral:rRNA from 1 species
GACGAACGCUGGCGGCGUGCUUAACACAUGCAAGUCGAACGGAAAGGCCCUGCUUGCAGGGUACUCGAGUGGCGAACGGGUGAGUAACACGUGGGUGAUCUGCCCUGCACUUCGGGAUAAGCUUGGGAAACUGGGUCUAAUACCGGAUAGGAGCCAUCUUUAGUGUGGUGGUUGGAAAGUUUUUUCGGUGUAGGAUGAGCUCGCGGCCUAUCAGCUUGUUGGUGGGGUAAUGGCCUACUAAGGCGGCGACGGGUAGCCGGCCUGAGAGGGUGUACGGCCACAGUGGGACUGAGAGACGGCCCAGACUCCUACGGGAGGCAGCAGUGGGGAAUAUUGCACAAUGGGCGCAAGCCUGAUGCAGCGACGCCGCGUGGGGGAUGAAGGCCUUCGGGUUGUAAACUCCUUUAGCUAGGGACGAAGCUUUUUUGUGACGGUACCUAGAUAAGAAGCACCGGCUAACUACGUG